rnacentral:tRNA from 1 species
UAUGAAGUGCCUGAUGUAAAAGGAUUAUUUUGAUGUAAUAAAAAUGGUUAAAACCCUUCAUCU